rnacentral:lncRNA from 1 species
AUUGCCUUACUGGCUGGCAACGUCCUUAUCCCUUGCUUGCUAGCUAGCCAAUUUACAGUCACGUCAAACAGUGCAGACAGAAAAACAACAGUAGCUGCAAUUGUUUAAGCUGUUUUCUAGUGACAUUUAUUUGGAUUCAUCCAUAACAAUGAGCUAAUGUUAUGUGAGGCGCGAUUUCGUCAAGAAACUUGUUCAGAGGAGCUAGCCAACACAAUCACUUCACAUUUUAACUGGAAAGACUGCAAACUACAGUAGCUGCACUUUAUUUCGUUUUAACUUUUUUCAAUUGCCAUUUUUUUUGUGAUGCCAGCUGAUUCAUGAUUUCGACUGGCUGAGAAACGCUGCCUGCCUGUCAAUCUCGUCCCGACUCGUUCAUUACUAUGGGACAGCUGUAGAUCGAAUUUGAAUAUUGAAACGAUAUUGCAAAUAUCGGAGAGACAGACAGCAAGGUUAAUACAAAUCUCUGCUGUUGGAAACUAAAUGUUAUUCUAAAAAAAAUGUGAGAUAAUGUCUAGAUGCUUUUUAUAGUGGAGAUCAAGUUUAUAAUUUGCCUGGCUGGGUUGAUGAGACAGUGGAUUGCGCAGUCAAAUGGAACAGAGUAAAUAGCCAUAUUAACGUCAUAGAUUUAGCUCUUGGUAGCUUGUGGAAUAGACACCGGCUGGGAUGCGCUUUUAACCAGCAUUCAGGGUACAGGAUUAGACCCACCCGUUGUAUAAAACAGACCAACAGACCAACACAUCUUCACACGAAUGUCCACGGUGGGUCUCUGUAAAUUAUGCGAUUAUAUUGGAGACAGUUUAAUAGCGGUGACUGUCAUCAAUUCAUUUACUCUUAUAGUAUUUCUAAGUAGAAUCCAUAUCAGCCAGGGAAACUUUGUGAUAGAACAUUCAGAUUUGUCUGCCUGACUGUGGGACUCUAUACCUGAAUUAUUAGGAUUUUUUUGUGAUCACAACAAAACUAGGUAUUUUGAUCAAAUAUAGAUAUAAUAAAUGUUUAUCUUUCAAAAUAUGGGCCUGGCUGAGAAUAUAACAUUAAGUUUUCUGCCUGAGUGUGGCGCUGUUUACCACAUUUUUUAAAUCAUUUUGUGACUGUAACAAAGCUACUUUUACUCAACUAGAGAUGAAAAUAAAUAGUGUUUCUUUAAAAAGAUGGGCCUGGCUAACAUGGACUGUUUCCUCACCUUAUUCUCCUUGUGGUUAUCCAUGGUUGUUGGUUAUUUGCCAGGUAAAAGUAAUUAUUUUGUAUGUUUUUGCUGGACAUCUAGAGAAUAUUAAUUUAUUAUAAUAAUAAACUACUUUAUUCUGCUAACUGCAUACAAGUACAUUUCCCUGUUAUAGGAAUGGAAUGGAGUUGUAGAGUUGUAAUUUAGAGUUAGAAGAAGUGAAAACUAUACAAGGACUGAAGCAAUAGACUCCUCACUCAACUAGAUAUUGAAAUAAAUUGUGUUUCUUUGAAAAGAUGGGCUUGGCUGAUAUAAAAAUACAUUAAGGGGAAAGGAUCCAAUGACACAGAGGCUGAUUAUCUUUCUGCACAUCUCUUUAUUUACAAUGCUGGCUGCCAUUGUUAACACAAUUGCAGGACAUUAAAUGCUACCUGAAUUUACUAAAAAAAGUAACAUAAGUAGGCCUACAGUAUCACAGCGAGGUCAAACAGGUGUGUGUGUGUGUGUUAGUCAGACUGUCCAGUGUCCACAACAACACUACUGAUUAUUCUCUACCCCCAGUGUAUGUGGUGUACUAUGGUUUUAGGCAUGCGCUCACAAACCCUCAUCUUUUCUCUUUCUCUGUCUCUCCUUCCGGAGGACCUGAGGCUCUUGGACUGCGACUGAGGACACCCCAGCCUGACACCUGAAUGUGCCUGGCCCAAUCCCACCUUGCCCUCCUCUACCAGCCUGUGGCUACCUCCACUGAUUCUUUCUCCCCCUCAAGUCACUAACCUACUCCCCACACACCUAGAAACUUGUAUUUCAUUACUUACCAUAUGACUUUAUGAAAGGCCAUCGGUUCAUGGAGUCUUAAAGUUAAAUCAAAUACAGAUUCGUGCAAACUGGAAGUGUGACUUCUUUCCCCAAUGAUUUCUGAAGGCUGAGCCAUUACAGAACCACCCACCAUCAACGGACCAAGCAGCGUGGGAGAAAGGAGUCAUGGACCUGUGAGGAAAUCCUGGAUGGGGCAGGACCGUGGACAAGGCCGGGAGAAUACCGCCGCCUGCCGGAGGAGAUAGAGGCAGCGAGGGCAGAACGGCGUUUCUGGGAGGAUCGGCUGGCACGGGAAGUGCCAUGCUAGAGUGGGCAUCGAGCCAGGACGGGUUGUGCAGGCCGUGCGCUCCAGACCUCCAGUGCGUCUCCAGGACCCGGUCUAUCCUGUGCCUGCUCCCAGAGCCAGGCCUCCUGCAUGUCUCCCCAGCCUGGUGCGUCCUGUGCCUGCGCCCAGAGCCAGGCCUCCUGCAAGUCUCCCCAGCCUGGUGCGUCCUGUGCCUGCUCCCAGAGCCAGGCCUCCUGCAUGUCUCCCCAGCCUGGUGCGUCCUGUGCCUGCGCCCAGAGCCAGGCCUCCUGCAAGUCUCCCCAGCCUGGUGCGUCCUGUGCCUGCUCCCAGAGCCAGGCCUCCUGCAUGUCUCCCCAGCCUGGUGAGUCCUGUGCCUGCGCCCAGAGCCAGGCCUCCUGCAUGUCUCCCCAGCCUGGUGAGUCCUGUGCCUGCGCCCAGAGCCAGGCCUACUGAAAGGCCCGCCUGUCCGGCGCAGCCAGAGUCGCCCGCCUGUCCGGCGCAGCCAGAGUCGCCCGCCUGUCCGGCGCAGCCAGAGUCGCCCGCCUGUCCGGCGCAGCCAGAGUCGCCCGCCUGUCCGGCGCAGCCAGAGUCGCCCGCCUGUCCGGCGCUGCCGGCGAGGGACCCCGCUCUAGAGGCGCCACCAAAGUGGGGUGAACCAGUGGUGGAGCGGGGUCUGCGUCCCGCUCCUGAGACACCUCCGUAGGGGGGAGGAUUGGGAAGGGGGGUUGUAGCACAAGAACCGUCGUUGACGGUGGCCACCCUCCCUUCCCUCCCUUUUAGUUUGGGGUUGUUUUUGUGUUUUUUUUGUUUUUGUUUGAGGUGCAUUUCGGGGUCUGCAUCUUUGGGGGGGGUGUACUGUCACGUCCUGACCAGUAAAAGGGGUUAUUUGUUAUUGUAGUUUAGUCAGGGCGUGGCAGGGGGUGUUUUUCUGUGUGUUUUGGGGUUACAUUCUAUGUCCUUUUUUGUAUGUUUGGUAUUUCUUUGUUUUUGGCCUGGUAUGGCUCUCAAUCAGGGACAGCUGUACAUCGUUGUCGCUGAUUGGGAGCCAUUCUUAGGUAGCCUGUUUCCCUUUGGGUUUUGUGGGUGGUUUAUUUCUGUUGAGUUAUUUUACCUGACAGAACUGUUUGGCUGUCUUUUGUUUAUUUGUAAAGUGUUCUAAUUUUCCAAUAAAUUACAAAGAUGAGCACUAACCACGCUGCGCC